UACGGGGGGGUGCGAGCGUUGUCCGGAAUCACUGGGCGUAAAGGGCGCGUAGGUGGUUUGAUAAGGGUGUGGUGAAAAGUCCGGGGGCUCAACCCCGGAUCUGCCGUGCCGACUGUCAAACUCGAGGGCUGUAGAGGCAGACGGAAUUCCGGGUGUAGCGGUGGAAUGCGUAGAGAUCCGGAGGAAGACCGGUGGCGAAGGCGGUCUGCUGGGCGAGUUUCUGACACUGAUGCGCGACAGCGUGGGGAGCAAACAGG
rnacentral:rRNA from 1 species